UGGACAGAUUAUUGUAUUCGACUGUAUUCACGGCGUAAAACAAGGGAUUACACCUUUUUAAAUGGAAAGUGAAUCAAUUAACAUAAUAGACUCCU
rnacentral:pre_miRNA from 1 species